AAGUGUUACAGCUCUUUUAGAAUUUGUCCAGCAGGCCUUCUGGUCUCCACCGGAAGGCGGCCUAA